CCCUUAGAUGUCCGGGGCCGCACGCGCGCUACACUGAAGGAAUCAGCGUGGCUUUCUCCCUGACCCGAAAGGGUUGGGAAACCCGUUGAAUCUCCUUCGUGAUAGGGAUUGGGGCUUGAAAUUGUUCCCCAUGAACGAGGAAUUCCCAGUAAGCGCGAGUCAUAAGCUCGCGUUGAUUACGUCCCUGUCCUUUGUACACACCGCCCGUCGCUACUACCGAUUGAACGGUUUAGUGAGGGCCUCGGACUGGUCUCGGCCCGCUCUUUACCGGGCGGCGCCGUUGGUCGAGAAGACGCUCGAACUUGAUCGUUUAGAGGAAGUAAAAGUCGUAACA
rnacentral:rRNA from 1 species